UACGGAGGGGGCUAGCGUUGUUCGGAAUUACUGGGCGUAAAGCGCACGUAGGCGGCUUUGUAAGUUAGAGGUGAAAGCCCGGGGCUCAACUCCGGAAUUGCCUUUAAGACUGCAUCGCUAGAAUUGUGGAGAGGUGAGUGGAAUUCCGAGUGUAGAGGUGAAAUGCGUAGAUAUCGGGAGGAACACCAGUGGCGAAGGCGACUACCUGGCCCAUUCUUGACGCUGAGGCGCGAAAGCUAGGGGAGCGAACAGG
rnacentral:rRNA from 1 species